CCGCGUUUCACACCAGUUUCUCCGUCUCCGGCUCCGCACAGCACCUACAGUUCCUUGAGGUGGUGUAAAGUUAAUUUCUUUAUUUGAGAUUUUUGUUUCUUGAGAAAAUACCAACCUGUAAAUUGAAAUGCAGAUGGAAAGAGAACAUGUAUUCCAGCACUAUGAAAGUCAAACAUGAUGCCAAAGUAAAGUGCAAUGCUUCCAAAAAUUGAAAAAGCAUUCACAAAAGUCCAGUAAGAAGUAUCCAAGCCGAUCUGUUGGGAAACCAAAGAAAAACAGAGCAUUCAUUUUGGGGAGUUAACAAGAAAUAAAGGAUCCAGGGAUUCUGAAAAUAGAAUUCAGCAAUUUAGGCAUGAUUUGGCUUAAAUACUGAACAAUCAAACUAUCCUUGGCUCAGGCAAGAAAUAGGAAAUGUGCUUGGUAUAAGGGAUGAAAACAGCAUUCAUUCAUAUUUGUAAGCGGCAGAGGCUCGCGUGGAGGAAAAUGGGAGCCAGGACGAUGCGCAUGCUGGUCUCUCUACAGAAAUACGGGUACCAACAGAUACUGAAAACCGUCGACUUCGCGUACCUGGAAAUUGACUGUUAUUAUAAGAGCAGAGGCAAUCGUGACAGCGAAAGACUGGUAGUCUGAAGGCGCCUCUCCAUCCUGUCCCACGGUUUGCAGAUAAGCUCCAAGAGGUAUGAAGAAGAGGAUCAUUGAUGUUAAAACUCCAUGCAACAAGCUUACGAAGAAUCUCCUGUAGUUGAAUAGACGACGAUGAUACGUUACCUGUGCAGAGUACCCAUUGAAGAAGGAGUACCAGAAAUGAACCAAAGUAAAUGCAAAGUUUUUAUAGAAGAAGUAUCGCAGGAACUUGCACAUCCUUAUGUAAGACCACCGGCCGUGCACCAGCAGCAGUCUCUGCAGAUAUCUGAACUGGGCAAAGGAGUAGUCACUUGACAUGACAGCUUGCAUGCCUUCCUGUCCACUUAUUCCAACACCAAUGUGGGCAGCUGUGGGGCCGAGGGAGAAGAUACUGUGAAUCAUAAGCUUAUUUGGGGGCAAAACAUUGAGAUGAUAAAAAUGUUUAGUAGCAAUACAGGAAAAAAAAAAAAAAGACAUUCAUGAAACAAUACAUAUGGAAACUCUUGCUCACCAUCCCCUACCUUCAGCUUCUGAACUCAACUCAAAGUCAGGGGAACAAGUUGCCAAACAGAGCACAUGGUUGAGCCUUCAUAAAUAUUUGUGAAAGGACCUCAGGUGGGUGGUAUAUGCCAUUUGGAUUAUCUGCCCAGCUCAUAAGUCAUCCUUCCCACCCACAAGGUGAGUCCCAGGUACCCAUGUGUACCCUGUGUCCCUGCCUCCCUGGCCACAGCUGAGUCAGCCAAGAGCAGGUAUAUAAUCUGGUAGAUACUAUGAACUGGCUCUUAACCUUCAUUCUCCCCUUAUUCUAACUGGAGAGGUAGGAAAGCAAAUAAAAAACCCUACAUCGCUCAGACUCCUUUGCAGCUGGGUUCUCUGUGAAUUCGGUUCCACUGUUUGGACUCACUUGUGACUUGGAAGCAGAAGCGAAUCAGAGCCCAGCAUCUCUUCCCAUUCUGACAUUUCUGCAGCAGAAUUCUUAUCCAUUCUCCAGCUGCCCAAAUGUUGAUAAACCACUGCAAAGGCUUCUCAAUUGAAAAGCUCUUCAGAGGAGCCUCAAAGCUAGAAGCUUCUCUGGUGAGUGACACAGACAUUACAGACAAAGCCUAAAACCUGCUGCUUCAGUCCAUCCAGAAUUUUCAUGAGUACCUAGUCCCUUGUAUUAAUCACUUCCUGCUUAAAGUACCUAAAGAGGUCUGUUUCCUGUAUUACACCCUGGCUGAUGGAAAACCUGAGCUGGGCCAGUCUCUCUUGGCAUUUUGGAAUUAGGAUGGGAUGGAUAUCCUUCUUUCUGGGGGGCAGAGAAUAAAGUAGUUUAGAGAGAGGGUGAGAGAGACAACAGACACUGGGUUCCUGUGUAGCACCAGGUCCUGGUUCUAGCAUUUUCCUGAGGCCUGGCUUCUUGAGCAGCACAAGACAUAUCUGUAUCUUAAAAUAAAUUUCUUUUUCUCUUAAGCUGA